GGUGUAGCCAAGUGGUAAGGCACUGGUUUUUGGUACCGGCAUGCGCAGGUUCGAAUCCUGCCACC
rnacentral:tRNA from 1 species